GACGUAGGGCGCGAGCGUUGUCCGGAUUUAUUGGGCGUAAAGAGCUCGUAGGCGGCUUGUUGCGUCGACCGUGAAAACCCGGGGCUCAACUUCGGGCUUGCGGUCGAUACGGGCGGGCUAGAGUUCGGUAGGGGAGACUGGAAUUCCUGGUGUAGCGGUGAAAUGCGCAGAUAUCAGGAAGAACACCCGUGGCGAAGGCGGCUCUCUGGGACGGUACUGACGCUGAGACGCGAAAGCGUGGGGAGCAAACAGG
rnacentral:rRNA from 1 species